CCUGUUUAUUUUCCAUGAAGUGAUGGGACUGGAUGCCAUGAUCUUCAUUUUUUGAAUGUUGAGUUUUAAGCCAACUUUUUUACUCUCCUCUUUCACUUUCAUCAAGAGGCUCUUUAGUUCCUGCUCUCUUAUCUAUAGAUAGUUCUGUGUUUAUAUCAUUCCUUGCCUUGUUGGGACAUUUAUUAAAAAUUAACAUUUAAUCAGAGAUAAAUUUUUCUAUAUAUUUUCUUUUAAGCUGCUUAUUUAAAUAAUAUAUCAUGUAAAAGAAUACAUUAAUGUUUUCACAUAAUUGUUCUUCUUUGACCUUCACACCAGUACUGUAUAUUUGAAAGGCAAUGGUUUAUUCUCACCAUUUAGUGAGUAACAAGAUUGACACAAAUAAAACUGCUUGCUCACUAUCACAUAGCUUAUUAAUAGAUUACCAAUCCGAUGGUCUUUCUUGUAAAAUCAACUCCUUUCCAAUAAUCCUUUUUAAAAAGCCAUGAAACCACCUCUCAAGAUUCCUGUCUUUGUUUAUUUUUAGUUUGUAUGUUAUUUCUCGUUACAUUUUCUACUAGUGCCAGUUUGGAGCAGAGCUGUGAGGACACCGUAAAAACGGAAUCUUCAGGGGUGAUAGAAAACCACAUAGCAAUUAUAGUGUGGAUCUCACAAUAAUACAGAAGGAAUAAAUUACAAAGCUGCAAUCAAGUUAGAGCUAAACUCAGAUAACUUACAUAAACAUACAUAGGAACUAUUUGUUUGGACAAAGAAGACAUUUAAGCAGAAACAGUGUGCCUCACAUUUCAUGUCCUUACAGAAAUGACAAAGUCAGUCCCGUGGGACUGACUCCGAAGUUGUCAAAGCACUUUUCUCUUCAACGUAUGAAACUUUCUCAACUUACGGUCCCAAAGAGCUACUCCCAUUUAUUCUAAAUUCUGUGGUAGGAAAAAUUUAUUUAUUUUUUCUAAGAUUACAUUUAUUUUUUUCUUCAUUAAAAACAUUAUCAUUUAAUCAGAUUUUGUCAUCCUUAAUUACCCAGCACUAGUCAUAGUGAGUUAAAUUCAAAAUCUGCUAGAUAGUUUCUUUGCCAAAAUAAAUUUACAAUCUAACUUUGGAUAGGAAAGGAAUGAAAAUAAGUAAACAGCCAAUUAGCUAAAUAAAUGAAUGAAUGAAUCUCUAAUUGACAAAACAGUAAAUUAGAAAACCAAGUACUAUAGUAAAUACCAAACUGUGUGAUACAGUGAGCUCUGUCAUACCUUGCAAAAAGAGUCAGGCUGUCCUGGAACUAACAGAAGAUACAUUUGUGUGGUAGACAUUUAGCUAGAUUUAAAAGGAUGUAUAGUGUUUGAAUUGGCAAAGGUGUGCAGAAAGGGCAAUUUCAGGUGAUAGAGAAUAGUGAUUUUUCAAAUUGUUUUUUCCUGUUUGCAUAAAUUUUUUUCAAAUAAGCUGUUACUUUAAAACUUAAUUAUAAUAAUACAAAGCAGAGCUGCUCUGAUUGAAGUGAGGCAAGAAAUGGGUUCCAGAGUCCUGUGAAAUUUGUCCUCUUGGUUUCUCCUGGGGUUCUGAUUUAGGCAUGUUCAAAAUUAUACACUUAUAUUUCAUCUUUUCUGUAUCUUCUGUGGCAUCUUUGAGUAUUACUGCCUGUGUCCAUAAUGGAGAUGUUUACAAUAAUUCAAACUUGAACCAGGGUCCAAGCAGUUAAUGGGAGGAAACAAAAGGAUAAUUAGGAAAUGGUUGUAAAAGAAAUAAAUACAAUGUGUUGAAAGGGAUUGCUGGGAAGAGGAAGAAAGGAAUCUGCAACAUUGCUGAAAUAAUGAGUGUAUAUAUCAGGAAGAAAAUCAGUGGUACUAGGCAGAGAACUAGAAAGUCAGGAGAAGAAACUAUAUUUGUUUCUUUUAGUAUGUAUAUGUUUUAUUCAUUUUUUCCCUUUCACUUUAUCACUGUGCUGAGAUAGGCUUUAAAGCAGAGACUUAAAGACCAGACUUAUUCUAGUAGGAUCUUUAAGUCUUGUCUUUUCUGAAAAUCUGGAAUCUACUCAGAGGCAUGUGAUUACAGACAGCCCUGGUCCUGCAUUACUUACAGCAUGGUGUGAAAGCGUUAGGCGCUCAGUCGUGUCUGACUCUUUGCAACCCAUGGACCCCGCCAGACUCCUCUAUCUAUGGAAUUCUCCAGGCAGCAGUACUGGAGUGGGGACCUUCUCCAGGGGAUCGUCCAGACCUCGGGAUCAAACCUGGGUUCCCUGCGUUGCUGGCAGAUUCUUUACCAUCUGUGCCACGGGAAGCCAUUUACACCGUACCAGGGACUGAAGAUAGAGUGAAACUAUGACAUACUCUUAGACUUCAGAAAACUCCCAAAUUUGUGGUAGAGACAUAUAUUUAGAUGAAUAAACUAAUGUAAAAUUAAAACUGAGUCAAAUAGUGGGGAAGAAUGGCGCCUGGUACCAGGGGAAUAUAUACCAGGCCUAAUCUUUUCAGAGAAGGUAUCCAUGAGGCAGUGAUAUUUAAACUGAUAGCAGGAAAGCAUGUACAAAGGCAAUAAAGAGAGAAAGGAAGCCAGUAGGACUAGAGCAUAGAGGGUAGGGGGUAAGAGAGAAAGCUGGAGCGGAAUGCAUGAUCAUUCUGAGAGUAUUGGCUGUCAUUGAUGGGGAGAAGGAGGGUCAUGUGAUCAUAUAUGCGUCUUGGAAAGUUGACUCAUGUUGCAUCAUAGAGAACUGUUUGGAGAGUGGUCAGUUGAGACAUAGUCAGAAAGGUGAUUAGUACAGAAAUACAGAGAAAGUUCUUGGUAUCUUGGACCAGAGUGGCCAUCCUGAAGAUAGAAAGAAGAGAAUUAAGAUUCAGGUGAUAGCUGGGAGAUGGAAGAGAUUGAAACUGGUGAUGAGGGUUAGAGGAGAGCAACAAUAGAUUAAUGAUAUAUUAAGGAUAAUAACUCUUGACAUGGCAUCAUUAUUGCAAGAAUCACUUUUCCAAUUUAAAAUUUGGUUUUAAGUUUUAUUUAUGGAGUUUUGAUAUGGUGAUGUUUUACAGUUAAUAUAAUACUACAUAUAAUUUUUAUUUAUGUUUUUGCUUCUGGUUUUGUUUUUGCUUAAGGAUUUAUCCAUGUGCUUAGAAAAUGUAAACACUUACCUACAUUUUUCUGAUUCUUUUACAGUAUUUUUUCUUGUUUUAAGGAAUGACCCUAGUAGGAUUUAGAUCUUUAAUACAUCUGAAAUACAGACAUAUGUACACACAUACAUGUAUAUAAUGUAUUCAGUAUAAGACGUGAGGUAGGUGAGGAUCUAAAUUUAUUUUUCCUUGUAGAUAGCUAAUUGUUCUAUAACUCAUAUAUUAAAUUGUGAUUCCAAGUCAUUUACCUUUUUAUGAAGUAUUUUUACAAUGAAUGUGCCACUGAGAUUAGCCCUGUAAGAUACAAAAAAUUAGACAUAAUAUUCAUUAAAUAAGUGAUCUAUUUUCUUAAAUAACCCUAUAAAAAUUAUGUAGAAAAUAUUUUAAAUGCCCUUCAGUAUUGGAAGGAAUAGCAUUGAAUAGUCAUGAAAACAAACCUCAAAGCUAGUGGGAUUUGGAGUGUAUAAUUUUGCUUGUUUAUAAAAUACAUCUUUUUAAGUCAUUGCUUGUACUAAGCAUAGUUGUAUUGCUCAGUUGUCAUCUGUUUUCUUCUUGGAAUUCUACCUUUGCUUCUUAGAACUAAAAAGUCAUUUAUUUUAUCUGCUCAGACAAGAGGACUUUUUUUAAAAAAACUCCUUUUAACCUAGCUUGAAAGAUAACUCUGCAACUUGAAACCCAAAUUAUCCUUUCUCUUUUACUAAAGCUAAUGAGUGUACUAUGACACUAACUGGAUCUCAUGAAAUAAUUUUAUCAAUCCCUAAAGCAAAUUACAUUUUUCUGUUGUGUCAACUUGACAUAUGUGAUGCAAAAAUGCUGUAUACCCAGUCUCCAGUAAGGAAAUAUCAGUAUAAUUAAAAAGGUCAAAAUGACUCAAAUAAUUGUCUUUUCAUUUCCAGAAAACUUGACUUUUAAAAGAUGAUGCU